rnacentral:misc_RNA from 1 species
UUUCCGUAGGUGAACCUGCGGAAGGAUCAUUAAUGAGUUGUCAUGGGGUUCGAUGCUGGCAGCCAAUUUUUGGAUGCAUGUGCUUGCCUUAACAAUCAUCUUCCAAACACCUGUGCACAUUUUUGAGGGAGUCUUGAGUUGGUUGCCGCUCUUGGGUGAUUUUCUCACAUUCCCUUAAAUCAUUAUACGCUAUUAACAAUGUUGAACGUGCUCUGUGCCGCAAGGCUAUUAAUAUAAUACAACUUUUAACAACGGAUCUCUUGGCUCUC